rnacentral:rRNA from 1 species
ACGGGAGGCAGCAGUGGGGAAUAUUGGGCAAUGGGCGAAAGCCUGACCCAGCGACGCCGCGUGAGGGAAGAAGGUCUUCGGAUUGUAAACCUCUGUUGUAAAGGACGAAACAAAUGACGGUACUUUACGAGGAAGCCACGGCUAACUACGUGCCAGCAGCCGCGGUAAUACGUAGGUGGCGAGCGUUAUCCGGAUUUACUGGGUGUAAAGGGUGUGUAGGCGGGGAAGCAAGUCAGAUGUGAAAAUUAUGGGCUCAACCCAUAACCUGCAUUUGAAACUGUUUUUCUUGAGGGUCGGAGAGGUAAACGGAAUUCCUGGUGUAGCGGUGAAAUGCGUAGAUAUCAGGAGGAACACCGGUGGCGAAGGCGGUUUACUGGACGAAACCUGACGCUGAGACACGAAAGUGUGGGGAGCAAACAGGAUUAGAUACCCUGGUA